rnacentral:rRNA from 1 species
UACGUAGGGUGCAGGCGUUAAUCGGAAUUACUGGGCGUAAAGCGUGCGCAGGCGGCUUUGCAAGGCAGAUGUGAAAUCCCCGGGCUCAACCUGGGAACUGCAUUUGUGACUGCAUGGCUAGAGUACGGUAGAGGGGGAUGGAAUUCCGCGUGUAGCAGUGAAAUGCGUAGAUAUGCGGAGGAACACCGAUGGCGAAGGCAAUCCCCUGGACCUGUACUGACGCUCAUGCACGAAAGCGUGGGGAGCAAACAGG